rnacentral:rRNA from 1 species
AUUGAACGCUGGCGGCAUGCUUUACACAUGCAAGUCGGACGGCAGCACAGAGAAGCUUGCUUCUUGGGUGGCGAGUGGCGAACGGGUGAGUAACAUAUCGGAACGUACCGAGCAGUGGGGGAUAACUAAUCGAAAGAUUAGCUAAUACCGCAUAUAUUCUGAGGAAGAAAGCAGGGGACCAUUUGGCCUUGCGCUGUUUGAGCGGCCGAUAUCUGAUUAGCUAGUUGGUGGGGUAAAGGCCUACCAAGGCGACGAUCAGUAGCGGGUCUGAGGGGAUGAUCCGCCACACUGGGACUGAGACACGGCCCAGACUCCUACGGGAGGCAGCAGUGGGGAAUUUUGGACAAUGGGCGCAAGCCUGAUCCAGCCAUGCCGCGUGUCUGAAGAAGGCCUUCGGGUUGUAAAGGACUUUUGUCAGGGAAGAAAAGGGCGGGGUUAAUACCCCUGUCUGAUGACGGACCUGAAGAAUAAGCACC